AUCAAUUAGCAAACUAAAAUUGAUUGAUAAGGAAUCUGGUGUUGGAAAAUAUCUCAAGGGGAUCCCAGAAAUUAAAGAAAAAAAUCAUUCAGCCAGAUCCUGCUUGGAUACCGUAGUGAUAAUUUUCAUGAGCAACUAAAAGCAAAAUGAAUCAAACACACCCAAAAGCAAAAAGCCAGAGGUACAUUGAUGCAAUCAAGGAAAAAUACAAUUAGAGAUUAUUUUGAUCUAAUUCUUACCUAUAAAAUUCAAUUUUUUUCUUAUAAAUUUCCAUUUAGGAAAUUUAAUAUUUAGGAAUUCCCAAUUCUACUACUAGUAGAAUUAAUUAUCAAAUCUCUAUAAAUUUAGGGUUUACUACUAUUUAGGAAUUAUUAGACAAAGUUGCUUGCUUCAUA
rnacentral:misc_RNA from 1 species